GCAGAAAAAGAAAGAAAAGAGGGGGGUUUAACCACUUGACUGUGUUUUACAUCAACGUUUGACAUCUCACAACAUGUGUGUGAUCUUUGAACACACAGAGACACACGCACACACAACACUACAGUCUGUCAUGUUUUCCACGGGCUGACAUUUACAAAGGAAGACAGUUCAUCUAACGAUCUCGCAAAAAGGUGCUCCGGCUUCCUGCCCCUGUGAAUAUCGUUUAUUGCUGUGUCGCCGCCUUCGGAGGACGCAACCUACGUCCGAAAUGAGACGGUCUGGUCUAUGGAGGAUUUCCUAUUGAUGCCACCAGUUUGUCCCACUCUUACCAUUGCAUCGUUUCCCCCAUUGUGGGACUAAUAAAGGAUUAUCUUACCCUAUUAGAAACCCAUUGGAUCCUUGAUGUCGGUGCCGGUUUGAAACUAAAAUGUAGUUGCGAUGUAGCCUCUGUUUUAUUUAAUUACAGGCUAAUGCCCAAAAUAGUAAA